AUGCGAUAAGUAAUGUGAAUUGCAGAAUUCAGUGAAUCAUCGAAUCUUUGAACGCACAUUGCGCCCGCCAGCAUUCUGGCGGGCAUGCCUGUUCGAGCGUCAUUUCAACCCUCAAGCUCUGCUUGGUGUUGGGGCCCUACGGUUGACGUAGGCCCUCAAAGGUAGUGGCGGACCCUCCCGGAGCCUCCUUUGCGUAGUAACUAACGUCUCGCAUCGGGAUCCGGAGGGACUCUUGCCGUAAAACCCCCCAAUUUUUCAAUGGUUGACCUCGGAUCAGGUAGGAAUACCCGCUGAACUUAA
rnacentral:misc_RNA from 1 species